AUGACCGCACCCAAGUUCCUCGAGAAGCUGCUCCCUCGCCACCCCUCGUUGUCCGACCAGCAGCAGGAAUUGGAGCCACCUUGCCUCGCCCGCCGGCGAGCCCCUUCUCCGGCGACCCCGUACUCUGCUCGCCCGCUCCCCUGUUUCUCCUUCCCACGCGCCGACUCCUUCCCCCUCGCACCUAAGCCUUGCUGCUGCCUGUGUUUCUCCCACCACUUGCAGCUGACGGAGCAGGACCUCCUCGUCGUGGCUCUGCCUCCACUAGCAGCAUGCUGCUACCUGUCAUCUCCAUGGCCUUGA
rnacentral:rRNA from 1 species